rnacentral:rRNA from 1 species
AAGUCGGAAUCGCUAGUAAUCGUGGAUCAGAAUGCCACGGUGAAUACGUUCCCGGGCCUUGUACACACCGCCCGUCACACCAUGGGAGUGGGCUGCAAAAGAAGUAGGUAGUUUAACCUUCGGGGGGGACGCUUACCACUUUGUGGUUCAUGACUGGGGUGAAGUCGUAACAAGGUAGCGCUAGGGGAACCUGGCGCUGGAGCACCUCCUUC